rnacentral:hammerhead_ribozyme from 1 species
AUUCAUCCGAUGAGUCCCAAAUAGGACGAAACGCACCUUCUGGAU